UGUUGUAGAUAAUUUAUGUGGAU
rnacentral:piRNA from 1 species